GGUGGCUCAGUGGUAGAGCGCUUGCCUUGCAAAUGCAUGAGGUCCUGGGUUUGAUUCCCCAGCACCA
rnacentral:tRNA from 1 species